GGUCAUGAGUGUCAGCGACAAGCCCCGGCUCGCUGACCGGCAACCCUCCACCGCGGUGGGGUGCCCCGGGUGAAGACCUGGCACUGGGCCGUCCGGCCGCAGUGCAAGCGCGGGCC
rnacentral:ncRNA from 2 species